AUACGUAGGUGGCAAGCGUUGUCCGGAUUUACUGGGCGUAAAGGGAGCGUAGGCGGAUACUUAAGUGGGAUGUGAAAUACCUGGGCUUAACUUGGGUGCUGCAUUCCAAACUGGGUGUCUAGAGUGUUGGAGAGGAAAGUGGAAUUCCUAGUGUAGCGGUGAAAUGCGUAGAGAUUAGGAAGAACACCAGUGGCGAAGGCGAUUUUCUGGACAAUAACUGACGCUGAGGCUCGAAAGCGUGGGGAGCAAACAGGAGUAGAGACCCUGGUAGUCCACGCCGUAGACGAUGGGUACUAGGUGUAGGGGGUAUCGACUCCUCCUGUGCCGCCGUUAACACAAUAAGUACCCCGCCUGGGGAGUACGGUCGCAAGAUUAAA
rnacentral:rRNA from 1 species